AGCUAGUAAUCAUAAUGAUGGUGAUGAUGAUGAUGAUGACACAUCGUCAUCGUCGUUGCCGUCGUCAUUAUCGUCAGCGUCAUCAUCAACGACAUGU
rnacentral:pre_miRNA from 1 species